rnacentral:sRNA from 1 species
AGCGCAAUCUAGAGCACCUUUGACGACCACUAUCAUUGAUAACAAGAAAUUGUACUCCUGCUGCUAGAAUCUUCCAACCAUCCCCCUUUUCUUUCAAUCUUGCCUGAUGAAGAGCUGUUGAAACUUUCAUAGUCAAUAGAAUCAUAACAACAUAAGCAAUUCGGUGAGUUCGGAAGCGCAUGUGAACUGUUGUCCCUUUACCUGGGGCUUCGAAGUUCAGAGACGAGAUAUGGUUAUUGUUUCAGAUGGGAGUGUGCUUGAAUGCGAUUUUCUUUUGCC